CCAAGCACUUGAGUCAAUCCAAUUAAGAAUCGAGUCAACUCCAUAGGUAUGUCAAUCAUAGUUUCAUGGUUUCAUAUACACAGAACCUAAGAUUUUGGAUUUAAGAUUUUACAGAAAUUAAGUUUUAGAUCGUGUGUCAAAAUAAUAUAUCACAUAUAAUAUUUAGCAAUCUAAAACAUAUAAAAAUACAUACAUAAUUUGAUUUAAAUCUUAAAAUAUGUAAUAUGUAUAAUUUUUCGAUCGCUGUUCAUCUUCACAGAAAACAUCACAGUCAGCACCCC
rnacentral:lncRNA from 1 species